AUACGGAGGAUCCGAGCGUUAUCCGGAUUUAUUGGGUUUAAAGGGAGCGUAGGUGGAUUGUUAAGUCAGUUGUGAAAGUUUGCGGCUCAACCGUAAAAUUGCAGUUGAAACUGGCAGUCUUGAGUACAGUAGAGGUGGGGGGAAUUCGUGGUGUAGGGGUGAAAUGCUUAGAUAUCACGAAGAACUCCGAUUGCGAAGGCAGCUCACUAGACUGUUACUGACACUGAUGCUCGAAAGUGUGGGUAUCAAACAGGAUUAGAUACCCUGGUAGUCCACACAGUAAACGAUGAAUACUCGCUGUUUGCGAUAUACAGUAAGCGGCCAAGCGAAAGCAUUAAGUAUUCCACCUGGGGAGUACGCCGGCAACGGUGAAACUCAAAUGAAUUGACGGGG
rnacentral:rRNA from 1 species